GUGGGGAAUUUUGGACAAUGGGGGCAACCCUGAUCCAGCCAUGCCGCGUGAGUGAAGAAGGCCUUCGGGUUGUAAAGCUCUUUCGGCCGGGAAGAAAUCGCACAGGCUAAUACCUUGUGUGGAUGACGGUACCGGAAUAAGAAGCACCGGCUAACUACGUGCCAGCAGCCGCGGUAAUACGUAGGGUGCGAGCGUUAAUCGGAAUUACUGGGCGUAAAGCGUGCGCAGGCGGUUUUGUAAGACAGGCGUGAAAUCCCCGGGCUCAACCUGGGAACUGCGCUUGUGACUGCAAGGCUAGAGUACGGCAGAGGGGGGUGGAAUUCCACGUGUAGCAGUGAAAUGCGUAGAGAUGUGGAGGAACACCGAUGGCGAAGGCAGCCCCCUGGGCCGAUACUGACGCUCAUGCACGAAAGCGUGGGUAGCAAACAGGAUUAGAAACCCCAGUAGUCC
rnacentral:rRNA from 1 species